rnacentral:lncRNA from 1 species
UUGAUGCAACAGUAAUGUCUACAAAUUCGAUCGUCAAGAGAUAGAAUAUAAAUAACGAACCGAUUGUCUGGUGUCCCACUGCUGGUGGAAUCUUUUCCUAGUUACAUGAACAAGUCUUACAUAUCCCGCUAAGAGUAAAUACUGUAGUUACAAUGACUCCCAACGGGAAUAGAAUGUUACCCAUUUCCGAAAUGGAGGAACGUAUGUGGGCAAGUAUAUGUAAUGGCACAUGAUCAAUUGCUCUGCCACGGAUUGACUAAUCGACUCCCAACCAAGGCGAAUGGAAGUACCCUCAGAUAUUUCAUAACUCAAGGAUUAUGGCAUGAGCACUGCAUCUAACCUGCCGGAGACAGUUGACAGCACAAUGUACUCCUUUCAUCUAAUUUACACUCUUCUUACUCUACACUCUUUACUUGUCGGCCAUCCAUCGUACUACUGUCACCAUAAGAGUUGUGACCAUCAAUGAAGACAUUUUCGGAGCGACGUUCAACUAAAAGUGUCCAAGCAUCAUACACACCUAGUAGUUGAAACUGAUCUUCGUGGUGAAGUAAGUAGACAAUUUGGAGCUUUUCUUGGUGAAGGAGUAGACAAUUUGGAGCUUUUCUGCCCAUCCGUCAGCAGAGGCAGACAGAUAGUUGAGCCACUCCAGGCCAUUCACCUGGAGACUGAUGUUGGCUAAGGUGUCGAUCAUGACCGGCAGUGCACUUUCUCAAAAUUUAAGUACACCUCCGGCAUCCUCAGAGUGUGGAACCAGCUGGGUCAUGUCGUGUUGGACCAGUCGCAGAUCGUCACGCGGGAGCUCCACCUCCAUGUGAAAUUCGACAUGAUGUGCUAAUUAAUGGCGACCACCGCAGUCGUCCUGGCAAGGGAGCGAGUUUGGAGGACCUCGUUGACUACAGUCUGGGUGCAUGGUGAGGACGCUGUCGGGAAGCAGCAUGAAAGAGGCACUGGCAUUGCACACCAGUUCAGGAUUUUCCGCACAUCGCAGGCGCAAGUACGAGGGAUAUUGUAACUUGUAUAUUCUAGGGUUAGGGUAAUAUAAGUUCAGUUUUAGAGAGUAAUAUAUUUCUUAUUAUUUUGUUUGCUGUUUUUGCAUUGUUUUGUACUGUCGAGUAGGGCACAACUUGAAGCGUUGCACCUCCUCGAUGGAGUGCAGUUCUUUGACACCUCACGCUAAUAAGUUGUAACCGUUCUAUUCUAAUAUGCCUUGUUAAUUUGAGUGUGGUGUUGAUGUAGGUUGGGUUUUCUUCCAAGAACGCCAAUUACCGGAGAUGAGGGGUGAGCUUUAGACCUGUGAGGAAUUUUGUGAAGAUAUAAACUCGCAUUUCGGAAGUAAGGCAAUAUUGAAAGCGAAUUUUUUGUUGGGUAGUUAACUGGGGAAUAAAAUGGUAGCGAACAACUAUAUGCUUGGUUUGCGAAUGAAACUUGGUCGUAUCGACUAAUGCGAGUGCCAACUGAUUGUCGCAUUGGAUGAGAGUGGCUUCAUGGAGGCUCGCGGCUUGAUAUAGGUCAUGAAAGAGGUGCCACAGCCAAUUUUUAGGAAGCUCAAUUAAGACCCAUGUUUUAUUGGCUGCAUGCAAGUUAAGUUCAUCGGCAAUGGCGGUCUUCCAUUGAGCAGCUUCGAGCGAUGACAGCACUUGCUUGUAGGUCGUGGGUUUGAGCGGAACUAGAGCCAAGGAGUAAAGAGCGUAUUUCUUCGAAGGCGAAAGAGGAGGUUAUCGUCGAGGGAGUAAGAUGUCGGGAUUGUAAUUUUUAUUGGGAUCUUGAGGGAGAGGGACAUUCUUCGUAGAUUACUAUGAUAAGCAAUGUAGAGUACAGGCACCAUGCGGAGAGAUUGCAAAGCAUCAAGUGCUUCAUCAUGUAUAGAUUCAAUCAAAGGAGACCGCAGUUGAUAGCUCCAAGGUGGCCUAGAAUGAUGCCCAAUAUGGGGCAUAACUUUGAGGCCAGACCACACAUCCACAUAUAGGGGGGGAGAGUCUGGAUGUAAUUGUACCAAAUGGUGGAGAAAACCUUCAUGAUCAUCAAGCUAAUCAAUAUGCAGAGCAAGGUCUAGUGGCAGAAGAGUAGGUGAUGGAACUAGUGAUGUGGCCAGUGGCAAAUUGUUGGGAUUGAGUAGAUUAGAAGAAGCUGUCAGAGGCAACACUGUAUUGAGUUGGGACUGCAGCAACUACAUAGUCACUGAUGGUGAAGUAGGAGAAUUUGCAGGGAGUGGUAACAAGGAAAUAGUAGGCACAACAUCCUUGGACACAGAUUUUAAAAAGUCUAGAUUUAGUCUAUUAUUCCAAAAGAAUAAUGAAGAUACAAAUCAAAAGCUAGAGAGGGAGAUGCUGUAUGGCCAGAAGGUAGGCUCUCUUCCAGAAACACAACAUUGCAUGAUGUGAUCAUGGCUUUAGUUUGCACAUCUUUAAUUGACCUUGUAUACCAUUGUUUGCUAGGUACUGAUCAAAAUCAGAGGAGAAGUAUUCUCCUUCUUGAUCAAAACAGAGAGUACAAAUUAUAUAAUUAGUUUGUUUUUCUGCUGUUACAUGAAAGUUCUUGAAAAACUCAAAGCACUCACUUUUUUUAGCAAAGGAGCCUAAUGAUGAUAUAUCUUGAAAAAUUGUCAAUAAAGUAAUGUAAUAUUUAUAUCCAAAAAAAGUUGGUGCUACAAUUCUGCUACUUAAGUUAGAAUGUAUAAUUUCCAAGGGAUAAGUUGCUUUGAAUGUAGCUUCUUUAGGAAAUUUUGUGAUAGUCUAUUUUCCAUGGAUACAUAAAAGCAUGUACCAGAGGGAAUUGUUUUGAGAGAGACUUCAUUUAUUGUCUUAUUUUGGAUUAGUUGUUUCAAUCUGGAAUUAUUGAUAUAGCUAAGGUGUCGAUGCCAGAGGUUGACUUAGGUAUGAUCUGUUGGUCGAGAAGGUGUUUUAGUAGAUAGUUUGAUGCAAAAGGCAUAAUAAAGUUGGCAGUAGGCGAUGGUGUUGGGUUGGGUGAUGAUCUGAAGCAAAGACAUUGAGGUGUAUUGAUUAAUAAUUUUUUGAAUGGGGUUGUUGUUUUGAAUUUGGAUCUGAAGCAUAGUUGUGAUUGUUCUGAAAGUAUGGUGAGCAGGAGUUGUUGAGCCAAAACUGAAUAGUGAUGUCAUUGCAAGUGUCAUCAAGAUGCAACCAUAAGAAGGAAAUUGUGUUGAUGUUGUUAUAGCUAGAAGAUUGUGUUGGAGUAGAGAUUGGUGAGAAGAGUGACUUGCCAAGAUCUUCUAUUAAAAGAUGAGAGCUUGCAGCCAUAAGAGGCAUUGGUACUGAAACUGCUAUGUUGAUAUUUAUUAGAGCAACAAGGAGUGUCAAACCCAAAAGAUAGAUAUUUUUUUGGAAGAAGACACCUAGUGAGGAUGUGAUCAUUACAAUCCAUUAGUUUAUAUUUUUGGUUUUUUAUUAGAAGUCCUAUUGUUUGAUUGUAUGUACAAACUAAAAACAAAUUUUUGUAUAAAUUUGGGACAUAAAAAACAUUUGAGAGGCAAAGUAUGUGCUUUUUUUUCUAACUGAAUUUUAUCUGAUCUUUGUUUAUAGAUUCAAAAUAUUAUAUUGUCUCCAAAAUGCACUUGAUGAUUAUUAAGUUAGAGAAUUUGAAAAUCAAUAAAUAAUAUUUUAGUAUAAGCUAGAUGGUAUGUAGCUCCUAUAUCGACAAACCAUUGAUUGUCUCUAGAAUCUCCAGAUUGGGUGGAUUUUGCUGAAUAUAAUACUUGUGUGAAGUAGACAUGACCAUAGAAAGAAGGUGGGAUUUCUUCUAUAACUUCACCUUUCCAUAUUGUUUUUGGUUUUUUAGAACUGUAUUUAGCUAUGGCAUAAUUUACAGUAGCUUUGUUUUUGUUCUUAAAUCAAUUCAAUCUCCAAUGUUCCAUCUUCUUACAAUGAAGACAUGGAAUUGUAAGCUUGGUUUUGGAUUUGUUGUUUUUAUAUUCUUUUGAAUAUUGUUUUGGUGGUAGCUUUAAUUGCUAUUUAUCUUUGCUUUUUUGAUGGAUGAAAAGAGCUUGUGAUUUAGAAGAAGAGCCUUUCAUGGUUGUCUCCUCCUAAAGAAGAAUAGAGAUUUAUUUAGAAAGUCUUACAUUUCUUAUUGUUCUUAAUGUUUAUAUAAUAGUUCCAUAUUAUGAUGGCAUAGAUCUCAUAAGAGUUAAUAUUUUUAUUUGUGGUGGGAUGACAAUUCCUACGGCAUCGUAUUAUUGAAGUAAUUUUUUAAAAUUAUAUAGAUGUUGUAUUACUGAGUCUCAUGCUCUCAUCUUUUAUGUGAUGAAUUUUUCUUAUAGGUGUGCUUGAGUAAUUAUAUCACUUACUCAAUAUAUAUUUUCAAGAGACAUCCAAGCUUCAUUUGUUGUUUUGCAUACUCCUACAUGUGAAAAAAUCAAGUUAUCUACAGAAUUCUAUAAUGCAAUAAGUGCCAUUUGAUUUUUCUUCUUCCAUGUGAGUAUUUCAUUUUGAUUUGUUAGUGAUAUUUUAGUUGUUGAAUUUGGUUCUAAGAUAGGAAUUGGUUCUUUUUUAAUUCCUAAAAUUAGAUUCCAAACAUCUUCUAUUUCAAAUUUUAUUUGAAUUUUUUGUUUCUAGAUUGAGUAUCAUAAUCCAUUAAACUUAGGCAAUUCUUUAGUAGAGAGUUUGUUUGUAGCCAUAUUCCUAAAAAAAGAGGUUUAUUGGUACUCUAAUUUCUUUGAAAAAUAUCUUCAAUAAAGCCUCCUUCUUGUGAAUUUUCUUGUUACUUCUUUUCUAAAACUUGUUUUUUUAAGUUUUCAAAGAGAAUAUUUGAUACUAUAUUUAAACUUAUAUAUUCUAGGAUUAGAAAAAUAUAAGUUUAGUUUUAGAGAGUAAUAUAUUUUUUUAUUAAUUUUUUUUAUUAAUUUGCAUUGUUUUGUAAUAUCAAGGAAGGCACAACUUGAAGGAUUGCACCUCCUUGAUAGGGUGCUAUUCUUUGAUACUUCAUGCUAAUGAAUUGUAACUGUUCUAUUCUAAUAAGGGACAAUAGAGUCACUAAGAUAUUUCAAAGGCAUCUUAAUUAUAGCCUCUACAUAUAUAACUUUUUACUUCUAAAAAGUGGUUGUGUCUUCUUAGAAUUGGAAUAGAUAGUUGGCUUGAACUAGUGAAAAAUGCCACACUUAAAUUUCCCAUCUCUAAUUGUCCAAUUCCUAUUGGAAUUACUUAUGAGUAAUAGUCAAAGCAAUAUGUAGAAUUCUUGACUACAUAUGGAUAGUGUGAUAUUAUCACGAGGAUGUACUUUGUUUUCACUAUUUAAGAACAGUUGAAAUUUUAUAAAUUGUUGUUUGUUGUGGGCCAAACAAUAUGAGGUAUUGAACCAUGUUCAAUGAACAUUGUUCAUUUUUUUUUAAGAUAUCUCAAAAAUAAAUGCUUGUGUGAGAUAGACAUGGGCAUAAAAUGUGGGAGAUAUUUCUUCUACAUUUUUUGACUUCUAUGUUUGUUUAUUCUUGUCAUUAUUGUAGGGAGAUGUUGCUAAAAUUGCAAAAUUCUUUGCUUCGUUUUUGAAGCAAUCGGAUCUCCAAUCUCGGCAGCGGCUUCAAAGUCCGAUGCCCUUGCCCAAAAGUACCCCAAAAGUGGAAGCUUAAGAAUCUUCUCAACUCAAACUAUUUUUUUUCUCUGCCUACAUUAUCUCAAUGCCGCUUUGCAAUGCAAGAUCCCACGGCAACAGAAUCCUCACACUGCGAGAACCUGAGAGUUGCCACGGUAAUUCUAAAGACCAAUUGACUUUAGUGUUAAUUCUGCAUACUGUUGUGGACAGACUUCACUUGUUCCACUUUUUCUGCUUCAAUACUACCUGCAGUAAAAGUUAUUGCCUUCGCAAUUUUCAAAAAACUGUGGUGAUGAACUUCUAUGCUGAAAGUACUCUGAAUGUGCGCUUGUCCCUUCUGCCAACCUUCAAAGCUCAGGUUAGCUCUAAUAUGCAAUUUUGUAAUGCUGUGAGGUGCCCAUACCUGGUGCAAUGGCUUAAUAAAUGAUAAAAAAUACUGAUGUACAUUCGUUACCCUGCAUGUAGCUUCAGCUAACUUGAACAUGAACAUGAAGUAAAACUGCUCCACGCAAAGAAUAUGCCAGUUCAAUCUAGAUGCUAUUGAUUUGGAAUAAAUUAAUCGUGGACAUUGUUGGUGGUGGAUGAUAAGAAGGGAUUGGAGUUGGUGAAAGUGAGCUUUCUGACUGGCCGACCUCAACAACCUCUCUUUCAUUGAGAAUCAGGUAAUGAACUUUUCAUGAGCUGUAUUCUUAGUUAAAGUUGCAAUCGUUCUCUCCCAUCACGCAGAUGCUAGUGCCGGUCAUAAACGACCAUCAAUUAGUCUUGCCAGCUGUAUCAAUACCUCAAACUAAAAUCUUGUUUGCGUGUGAUAGAACUGGAUCCAUUAGGUCAAGUCUCAGACUUAGUGGAUGGCGACGCCAAAAACCUUAGUGAAUGUGCAGACACAGCAGGAGCAGGCUCAUAAUUCGUGCUUAAUCAGCAAUAUUGGUAGUAUCAGUCAAUGAUAUUUGACAGUAAUUUCAUCCUUAUGUGAUACUUCGGCAUUAAAUGAAACGAGCAGAAGUAAUGUAUCGGCUGUGGAGUGCUUACAUCAUCAUUGAGUGGCUGCUAUUGCAGAAUCUUCAACCGUAGCCAGAAGCAUCCCGGCACACAGCCGAGAAGUACCACGAUCAAGGCAUGUCUUUCAAAAGAGAAACCAUCAACCAAACGAUUGAAUUGGAGGUCCAAAACCUUCAUCCAGCCAUUAGACCCAUUGUGAUGGAUUCCAAGAUUCUCAACGUAGAAGCGACCUGUCAACGAGGACAGCUGUUUGGAUGGAUUUGACAAACACGCCUUGGAUGUUAAUGAGAUAUAUCUAGACGUUCGGGAUUAACCACCUGGUUGCGGAGAAUGAAUAAAUUGCCGACGCUUUCUUCAUCCUUUCUUCCAACUGGGUCAAGGCUUCCAGGCUAAGAAUACACGAGAAUCACCCACAUGUAUCAGCAUGGCUAGCAACGGUAACACCAGCCGCCCAGCGUUUUAAGCAAGGUGACAACUGGAGUUGUGCACAAGAGCCUUUGAUGCAGCAAAGAAUUGUCUCAGAAUAUAGCUUCUGCAGGGUGUCAAUUACUGUUGGACCCAGUACAGCCAGUUAUUUUUAACAAACGUUACUCAAAGUAAAGUGCAGAUUAUUGGCAACAUUUCCAUUGAGAUUCAAUGGUCCUUUCAGCAGAUUCUUUGUGGUGCUUGCCCGCUAGAACAAAAGUUCCUGAGACAUGCUAUCGCUGUCUACACGAACAACAUGAUAGAUAUUUUAAGAUCCAGUCGACAUUAUGGUUAGUGUGAUCCUUAGGGUUCAAGUUGCGUUUUAUUGUUCCAGACAUAGAAAUGAAUUAGAGUGAAUUUACUUACAAUUGGGUUCUAUUAUUGACUUGUCCAAAAAAACAUCAUAGAAUUGAAUACCAAACAUGUUAAAAGUGACAGGAGUUUCUUCUGAAAGUGGUUUAAUUAAUUGGGCAUCUUUGUCUACAACUGUGAUGUUUCAAUAAUUCUUGCUUCAUAAAUUUGCUCUGAGCUAUAGCUUUUACUGAUUGUAGUGACUGAGAGAACAAAUUAUGAGUUCUAUGUAUUCUUCAAAAAUUAAGUGCACAACCGAAAUUUCUUUUAUUUUUGUUAGACUCUUCAUUUUUCACAAUCUCUUUCAAUUUUGUAGUUUUUUGAAUUGGGCAUUCUUUCAACAUACAAGUCGCUUUUUUAGUUAUAAAGUUAUUCCAAAAAAUAAUGAUUUUUGAUGGUUAAUAAAACUUUUUAGAUGCAUCUAUAAGUACAAACAAAGUAUAAUAACAUUACAUCAAUAUAAAGUUCAAAAUAUUUGUUGUAAUGUGAUAAAUUUUCAUAAUCAAUGCAAUAUAUAUAUAUAUAUAUAUAUAUAUAUAUAUACUUACUUGUAUAUCUUUAGAUAGUUAAAUUCAAUUUGUAUUUUAAAAAAAUCAAACAUACUUUAAACAUAAUUUGGUUAAUUUUAAUUACACUCUAAUUUCAAUUAAAAGAAGAAUUGUAAAAUUAUUUUUAAAGAUUGAAAAAAAAAAUUAAUUAAUUAAUAACAUAGAACUUUAUAGUUUGAUAUAUAUAUAUAUAUAUAUAUAUAUAUAUAUAGUUAUUUUGGUAUAGAAUUUUGUUUUUAAAUUUUCAAUAUGUUCUAUAUUAAAUAUUUUUAUCAAAGCUUAUCACUCCUAUUAUAUGGACAACUUCUAAGAUAUAAAGGAAACAAUUUAAAAUAAUUUUUCAUAUAAAAUACUCAAGGUUUUUUUUAUUAAUGUACCUUUGAUUAGAUUAGGAGCAUCUUUGAUGUAUUAAUGCCAUUCUUAAAUGAAUCCUCAAUAGUAAUUUUUUUUAUAAAUCUCAUAAUUAGUUUUAAAUACAAUAAAAAAAUAAAAAAAUAAAAAAUGAUGAAUGUCACUAUUUGCAUCGAUUUGUGAUAAAAUUGGAUCUAUUGCAAGAUCUAAUGCAUAUAUUUCUAUAAAACAUGGUUUUGAAAAUCUAAACAAUAUAAGAUAGGAGUUAUGUUAAAAUCUAUUUUUAAACUUUAAAUGGUGCUUUGAAAUCUUUACUUCAUUACAAUUUAUCUUUGCAAGUUAAUUACAAAAGUAAGGCAACAACUUGAUAAAUAUUUAUCCUAAAAUUUGAUAAUAGUUGAAAAGUUUUUUAAAAAUUAGAAAUGAUUUAAAUAGUAAAAAUUAUAAAAUAUUUUAAAAAAUUGAAGUUUAUGAUAAAGAAAUGAUUUGAGUAAACACAUGCAUCAAAAUUUUAAAAAUUUCUACUUGAUUUUAAAUAGAAGAAUGUUGUACUAUUUAUUCAAUUUCUUUAUAAGUUACAAUAUGGUAUAAAGAAAUUAUUACUUAAUUUUUUUGAUCUUAAAAAAUUAAAUCGGAUAAUUUAUUUUAUCAUCAAAUAAGACAAUAAAAUUUGUGACUUUAAAUCUUUAAUUUUUAUGAUAUCAUUUUGAUGCUUCUAUGUUUUUGUUGCAAAUACUUUUGUCAAUCAAGAUAUACAUUUAGAUGCAAAAGAUAUAGAAAUUUAUGCUAUAUGUUUUAAUCUUCUUACAAAAAAAUAAAAAAAAUAAAUAAAUAAAUAAAUAAAUAAAACUAAUAAGAAGUAUUGGAGAAUAAAAAUGUAAUGCUCAAGAUUUUCUUGAAAAGAAGUAAUACUACAAAAGAAAGAAUAAAAUUUAAAAGGAAUAGAAUGUAUUUAAUAACAAGUUUAUCCAACAAGAUUAGAAAUUUUAUAGCUUGAUUCUUACAUAAUAUUAUAUUAUUUGAAUUAUUUUUUCUUUAAUAAAAUUAUUUGUAGGAUCUAGAAAUUUUAUAGCUUGAUUCUUGCAUAAUAUUAUAUUAUUUGAAUUAUAUUUUCUUUAGUAAAAUUAUUUUUAGGAUUUAGAAAUUUCAUAGUUUGAUUCUUGAAUAAUAUUAUAUUAUUUGAAUUAUUUUUUCUUUAAUAAAAUUAUUUGUAGGAUCUAAAAAUCCAGUAUUUUUUAUUUUUUAUUUUAGAUUUUGGUGCCUAUUUGUUUUUUUUCUAAUAAAUGAUUUAUUAUAUUUUAUAGAAUAUUGUUAGUAUAAAUAGCUAGAUUUAUACAUGUAAAAAUCAUAGAUAGAAAACUUGUAUCUUUUUAAGAUGCCAUCUAUAAAACCUAACCAAAAAGAAAUAAUUAUAAAAGGUCAUAAAAGUUGAUUAAUAUUUAAUAUUUUGAAAUUUCCAAUAAAUUAUAUUAUAUAUAUAUAUAUAAAAUAUUAAAAUGGAUUAAAUUUCUUCUUUUUUAUCAAAAAUAUAUAUUGUAUUUAAAAUAAAAAUAAAACCCUUUUAAUUAUUAGAACAAGGAUAUAUAUAUAUACCACAAAAUAUAGAGAUAUAUUUUUUUAUUUAUAAAACACCAAGUGUACAAUCAUCCUAUGACUUAAUAAACACAUUACAUAGUCUAAGAUUCAUAAUAUUAAAUGAUUAAUUUUUAAUUUUUUAAUUAAUAAAAAAUUGGUUGGAAUUUUAUUUUAUAGAAUUAUUAAUAUUAGAUAAUAUGAAUAUAAUAUCUAUUAAUAGAAGAUCUUGCAAGCCAUCAAACAUUAAAACUAUGUUAUACAUAUCAUAAUUAUAAUCUUUCUUCUAAGACUUCCAUAUUAUUUAUGAUUAUUUUCUUAUCAUAUUUUUUCAUAGGAUUAAUAUCUUUGCUUCAUUUUUUUUUGCAUCUUAUCCAACAAAUUAUUGUGAAUUAGUUGUGUUUUAUAUGUGAAUCCUUCCAACCUACUUUUUAAAUUUAAUUUGUGUCGAACGAAUAAUUAUCUUUAAUUCUUACUUUUAAAAAUUCUAAAUGUUGACUUGUGGCAAUCAUAUCUUAUAUAAUUUUCUACAAAGCAUUAAUUGACUCAUUUUUUUGACACUCAUAUGAAUGUUAAACAUUAGUUGGUUGUUACAUUAAUGGUUAGAAUAUAAAUAUUUUUUAGAAAAUAAAAUUCUUAUCUUGUUGUCUUAUACAAUCACAACUAGGUUGACAUGACUAAAUGCAUCUUCUCUAACUUUCUACCUCAAUAUGGUUAAAUUUAUAGGUAUUAAAAUGAUGUAUUAAAAUUCUUUUGUUAUUUUAAUUUUACUAUUAAAGAUAGAAGCUCUAAAAGAAUUAAGAAAAGAUUUUGUUUCUUACUUUGUUUAUUUGAACUCCAAAAGUAUUAAUCCUAAUAAGUAAUAUAUGUAAAUAUUGAUUUGAUAAAUUUUUAAUAAAUAAAAAUAUAUAAAUUAAAAAACUAUAAGUAUCAUUUAAUAUCAAUACAAGUUUAAUGCUUUUUUAAUUUAUCAGUUUAAUUUCUUUAUUUUAUUUUAUUAGAUUUAUUAAAUAUUAUAUAUUAUAUAUUAUAUAAUAAUAAAAUAUAUAAUUAAAAAUUUAAUAAUAAUGGAAAGUAUAAUCAUGUAAUUAUUAAUAUAUGUAUUUUAUAAUUAUGUAGCUGGAUAUCUGAAGUCAUAAUAUCAUAACCAAUAUUUGAAAUAGUUUCAAAAAAAGAUUCAAGAAGACUACAUAAUAAUUUUAGAGCAUGUAUUUCUUUUAGAAUUUAAAUGGUUUAAGAUGUAUAUAAAAAUUCUAUUAAAUUAAAAUAAAUUAUUUUUUUGUGCUAACAAAUAUUUGAUAAAAUUUAAAUGUAUUAUGAUUAUAUUUUACCUUUAUUAUUAUAAAUAUUAUUCUAAUUACAAUUAAUUUUUUGAAUAACACUUAUGUACAAUAUAAAUAAAUUUUAUCUUAUUAAUGUCUUUCUUGAGUAUUAACUUGUGCUAUUUGUGUGACCUAUGGUGUCUGUCUUCUUAAGUGAUAGCUAAAGCUUCUAAUCUUAUUUCUUUAUUAUUAGAGAUACAUAUUUUUUACUUUUGGAAAAUAAAGAAAAAUUAUUCUAUAAUUUUAUUUAUCUUUUUUUUAUCUUUUUUAAACAUCAGAGGGUCUAUGCAAAACACCCAUAAACAAUGUCAAAAAUUAUGGUUAAAAUUCACAUUACCAACCUCUGAAUAGCAGCUUGUCAUUUUUUGGUAGUUGAAGUUCAUUGGAAACCUUGCUUUUUGAUGUUUUAUUGAAGAGAGGUUCAAUCUCUUUGAUUGUAUUGUCCAUAUAUCCAAAAAAAAAAAAAAAAAUACAAACACAAAAUCCCAAACAAUAGUUGCAUUACUAAAAAAAUGUCUUAAUUGCAACAAAUAUUACAUAAUUUCAGAACUAAUAAGAAGGUAAUUGAAAAACAUAGAUACCAACUUGAACACACACUAUGUUUUUUGCCUCAUAAAAUAUCAUAUCCUACAUGGAAGGAAAAAGUUAUCCCUUUCUUCUACAAGAACUUAAAUAAAUGAAAGCUAGGUGGACCCAAAACAAAAAAAACUUCCUCUCCUCUGUGUAGAAUAUUCUUGUAAAUUAUGUACUGCGAACUACAAUUACAGUAUUCAAGAUGUCAAAAGAGUCUAAACUCACUGUGAUGGAAUUGAUCCGAAGCAGUAUUCCCAUUCCUUUUCCUCAAUCGAGUGACAUUUCCUGUAAAAAAAUGAACUGAUUCUGGUGGUGUCUCCAAAAGCAAGGAUGCAAUCGCUGACUAUCACCACCGUUUCUGCUACAGGGAGAAUGAGGACCCAGUAUCAAACAGUGGGUUUGUUUGUCAUGCUGUUGUUUUGCUAAGUGAAUGUGGGACAUCGAGGAUGAUGCAUGGGCCCAUGCUUUCAACCUUCGAGAUCCAAGAUCUGAAACUUCUUUAGCAAACUACAAACUCUUAAUAUGUUUAUAUUUAGAUGAAUGUUAAGAAUUGGUCGUAAGAGCUCAUUAGAGUUUGGGUGUUCGAACACGAGCAUGCCGAAACCUUGACCAUCUAAUAAAACGGUUUUUUCAGAAAGAGCUUUUAAUAUUUACUCCUAUAGGAUCUUGGAAAUCAUAGUGUUAUCUCGUCUGAAAGUCCCUUAUGGUGAUAUGAAUUGAGCUGGAAAUUCAUAGCACUGACAGUCUCACCUUGGCAGACCCUUGGACGAUAUGAGAUGAGUAUAAUCAAGCAAUAAAAGCAAGGCUCUGCAAAACUUUGCCAACAUGCACUGCAAAAGAGAACACAGAAGUCAAGCUUUCAACUCGCAACCAAACACCAUAUGUGCUGAUGCGCAUGAAGCAGUAGGUGAUUUUAAUUGGUGAAAUGAGCGGGGAAUUAGUAGCAUAAUCCUGAGUGCUAUUGCGGAGGAACUACUUAAAUAGAAAACUAAACGUUUAGUGUUCAAGUCUACAUAUUAUUGGUAAUCCUUGCUGUUUGGAACCUGCAUUCUUUGUCUAUCUCAACAGCGUUGUCGAACAUACAAUUGUUUUCACCAAACAAACCGUCCUCUUUUAUAGUCCCUAAGUUACAAUAGUGAUAUGUAAGAUCCAAUUUCGAAUUGCAACUGCUUCUAAGUAUGUUCAUAAGUGUUGCAGACUUGAGACUGCCCUGUUGCCCCAAGCUGCUCACAGGAAAAUUAGAACCAACGGACGCACAUAUUGCCACCACAAAUGAGGACUGUACAGCGUUCGGCAUGUUUCAAAUGAACAUUUCAAAUGAUCUACCCUAAGGUAUCUUUAAAAGUCUCCACUGGUCAAAUUAAUCUUGACACAGAAAAUGAAGGCACCAAUUGAGUUUCUUUCACGUGUAAAAUAACGUUCUUGUAACACCCAAGAAUUGAGGGGGUUAAUGAAACUAUCUUUGAGCAUGCUAUGGCAACAUCAAUGAAUCUGGAAGAUGACAUUUAACAACUAAUGUAAGAUGUCGGUAUGAUUAUGAGGGUAUGACUGGAGUGGCUAUGAAUCGCUUCAGUAUAUUGAAGUACGUUUUGUCAAUUACUCCUGCUCAAGAUUGCUGACGAUUGCUCAUCAGCAAAAUGCUUGACUGCCUCAGUUUACUACAAAUGUGCACCAUUUUAAUGAGCGACUUCAUCAAUCUAAGUGCGGUUCAGAUUAAAUAUGUGCAAAAAGGUUCCUGUGAGAGUCGUACUGUUGAAGAAUGAUCGUUCCAGCAGGGCCAAGCCAAGAAUUCAUGAAUUGGCCACUUUAGAACCUGUAGCCAAGAAUAGCAAUGUCAACAUGUGGCUCUAGAAUCUGAAUCCUCAAACCAAUUGCGACUGUCCGUAUUACAGAACAGCUAUACAGCCUGGUACAGUGGGGCACCAAACAUCCGACACAAGUACCAUAAUUAAAGCAAUAAAUGUUUCACAGAAAUAUCAACGUGCAAUUUACGCCUGCUCACAAAGAGAAUGCUGUGCAAGACAUGGGUGAGGUGUAACUUUUUGCAUUUAGAGAGAGAGCAAGAGAUCCCCUCAAAAUAUCUGGCAUGACUUAAGCUAGUAUUUUCUACCUGCAUCAAGAUAGUAUUUCCCCUUAUUCUGUGGUGAUCACAAUUUCGAAUUACUAAGCCCGAGGGAAGAUUCAGGACUAACAUUUCAAUGGUUCUAACAUUCUACGGACCAAGAGUAUAACCAAAAGCUUGCCUCUGUGGGGGCUAGGUAAUGCCCACCGAUCCUUUGCGGAAAGGUGACAUCAUUCCAGAUAUGCAUGGCAGACUAUUGAUUGACCGAAUGUGUGACUUAUAAUAGUGAUACUGGUGGAAAAUAAUUAUGGAAGAAAACAUUAUAUCCAAGAACCGCUUCAUUCUACUAAGGAACGCCGCAAGAAGACCACGGAUUGAGUAUUCUGUCCCUGAAAAUGCCAAAUCACUGGGCCAACGCUCUACUCCCCUUACCAAGAGAAAACAUUAAGAGAGCGAAACCAUCAAGAACAAUGACUCACAAACACGGAAAACGAUCUUCCAGAUUCAGAGAAGAAUGUGAUUGUAGAUUUAGCAUCAAAUAGAUCUUUCCUUUCGCUCUAGUUUCAGAUAAUUGGAAAAUCACGACUGUUUCCACUGAUAACAUGACAUACGACUGACGAAGAGAAUACGUUCAAAGGCAUUAUGAAGUAACAUUGAAAAGCUUGAAGCAUGAAUUCAUGCCACUUUAUUACAACGGAUAAAGUGUUGCGCUUGUCUACACUCAAGUCAUAUGGCUACAAGAAAAGGAAUGACAUACCUCGUUACUAACAACAUUAGACGUCAGCUACAAGAUGUUAAGAGAGAAGUGCGUGACUACUACGCUCCUAGGAGGAAAAAGGAAAUCAGAAGUAGAGUCUCUUGUCGACUUCUCGUCGCGUUUUCGCCUCUUUAAACCUGCUCAGAUGUAUGUCAUGCACAUUCGGCGAUACUCCUUGUGGAUGACUUUCUUGGUGUAAACCAGUUGAUGUCUCAGAGCCCUCCGUUGUACCUGUAGCUGCGAUGAUGCUGUGAAGUGAGCUAUCGAUAUCAGCACGAAAUAGUGGGCCUCCCAUAAUCACUCCGUGAUCUAGAACUUGCAAGGCUUCUACUGCCCGGUUGGCACGGUGGUGGCAUGAUGCCAAAGACAAGCAGGAGAGAGAGAAUGCGUCACGCCAUACCACAGGCACAUCUUUCCAAGGUCCUGCGUGUAACACCUCCCAAGCUAGUUCAUAAGCAGCUUCUGCAGCAUCCUCAUCCGCUCCAAACCAGGCCUUCUCUGCAAGCCCCGCAAACACUACGCCCCCUUCAUUGCGCACCUGUGAUAAUGGCAACCAACUUCAAAAUGUCCAUAUCAAAGCAUACAAUACUCCAUUCACUAACUUAUUCUUUACGAAUGAUAUUGGGUCUACCACUGUAAGAUCCUCGAACACAGUGAUCCCUCUCACUGGUGAGGUCCUCAGAUUUUCCAACACCAUAUCUUGUAAAACACGAAAUCUGAAAACACACUAUUUCGGUAUGAUUAUAACAAUUGCACCACCUCACUAACUCUGCACAACCUUCUCCUCAGUCAAUAAAUCUCAUGCAUCAAAACCUGUUAUCACAGAAGGCAAUCGCUCUCACAUUCACCGCUUUCAGAAAAUAAAACAAAAUCGCGAGGUCAAGGAAACAAAGGCAACCACACUCGUCAUUUCAGUGGAAUUGGACACCAGCAGAGGCAAUCGCAACUAGGUCAACGUGCCCAGACCUGGGUGAGAAACGCGAGCACCUGCGAUUCCGCAACGGGAGACAUGGGCAAAUUCUACAGCCGCUGACCUGCACUAUCAGUCACCGGGCACGACCUCCUAUGCUCCAAAUGCAGCACCUCCUAAUGCUUUCCCUCUGGCACAAAUGGCUCUCAAAGCACCACACCAUAUCAUUAGCACCGUCUACAUAACACUUCCCGACGCACAUGGAAUCGACCCCGUCUCGUCUGUGGCUAGUCUGCGGAUGGCACGCAUGCAUGACGCGUUUUAGAUUGAGGUUCCUGUUGCCGCGACACUAGUGCUGCUUAAUCUGAAGAGGCCUUCUGUUUCCACACCGCUUGUCUCUUGCCAUGUAACUCACUGUCUAGGCCAUGGCGGAAUAUCUGUCGUGCUCCAGCCUCAUUAUAUGGGAAAGCUCGAUGAGCUCCAUCAAGUGGACCGGUGCAACUUGCACCUGUCCAGAUCUUUUGCCUCUUCCAGAAUGGCGGUGCGGUCCCGCCUAUUUGUUUGAAUAAGCCAAAAAUCUAAAAGCUUUUUCUGCCCAUCGGAUCGUCUCCGCGGGCGCGAGGUUCGUGAUCACAACAGAAGUGGAUAUAUAGGAGAUCCGAAUCAGCUCAUGGAACUCGCCUGCGACAGAGUUUCCAGAUCCGUGCUCGGGUUAGUGAGCUUCGGGCACAUGCAUGCCCUGACCCCCAAGAUCGCAUGUGAUUGCAUGAAUGUGCGGCUAGAAUAUGAGAUAUGACAUUCAGACUACUCUUGACCCCUACUCUGGGUAAGAUGACCUGUGCUCUUGGAACCCAGGUGGCGCAUGUGCUGGAGUGACGCAGGGACGGACCUGCGCUACUUAUUGGACCCAACAGAAUCAAUGAUGUUGCGGGAGGCAUGCACACGGAUUUGCACUGUUGUAGAUGCAAGGGUAAGAAUCCACUACAGUGCACGAAGGCGAGUGGGGAGGUGGGGAGGGGAUAGUCUUCAAAGAGUCUUAGUUCUACCCGCAGUAAUGCAUGGCCCCACACUGCGCACCAUCGCCAGUAGUGCGAGAAUGCAGGCCGUCAUAAUGGGACCCAUGUAGGGCCAACCCUGAACCAAUGCAACCUUCAAUCCUCCCUUUCCAAACCGAGAAAGAUCGAUAUAUAUUUGCACCUUCCCUGCUCUACCUGGAUAUGUGACUAUGUGGCAGCGGUGCCUCAAAAUCCCACCCUCACUUCCCCAAUGGGAACAGUUCUCCUGAGAAGCGGCGCUCACGAGGGUUGUCACCGCCGAGGAUUAGCUCGGCACAGCUCAGCAGCAGGAUGAUGAUGUCCCUCCUCCAAACUAGGCAUUUAGUAUAUAACACUUUUGCUGAGGUGCUGGCAAAUCUUCUGAGGCUAGUUCAGUUCUAGAUUGUGCACCCCGUGCAGAGCAAACUAGACGUCAUCACCGAGACUGAGGUUAUGACGCGUUGACCUAGAUUCGGCUCCAUAAAUGGGCUCUCCUGCUUGAUGAAGAAUUGCCUUUGAUUGAAGCAUAAAAUAGUGGUGUUUCGUAGCUAAUGGGGUUGUGAACUAUAAAUGAUGUGUUUUAUUUUGACUUUUGAAAGGCUUUGACCUUGACUUGACUCUUUAGGGUAUGGGCCUUGAAACCCCACUUCAGACUUUGGUAUGCAUGGAUUACCUUAGUGCAAAAUUACUGGUCAAUAUGUAUUCUCAAGAUUGGGUAUUUUGAGCUCUCUCUCAAUAUAUAUAUAUAUAUAUAUAUAUAUAUAGUGUGUAUGUGUGUACGUGUGUAUUCACUUAUUUAUUUAUUUAUUUAUUUAUUUAUACACACACACAUAUAUAUAUAUAUAUAUAUAUAUUCUUACAAGGCAUUGGUGUGUGUAUAUAUAUAAUACAUAUGUUGAUAAACUGUGAAUGUUUCUAUUAGUUAUGUAGACCAACUUCAAAUAAAAAAUCUUCUCAGUAGAUACAAGUAAAGUUUGCUAUUCUCUCCAAGUAUUUUUUACAUUAUUUAAUGUCAUUGUAACUUAAAUCUUCUUUUUUCUUAAUGGACUUUUGAACAUUUUAAAGAGCAUGUUUGUCUCAAGCAUUAUUUUUCUUCUUUUUCUCUUUUUUUAUAAUUAUUCUUCUCUAUAUAAAAUUUUAUAAAUAUUUUUUGUAUGGAAUUUAUAGUUAAGAAUUUUUUUUAAAAAAAAAAAAAAAAACUUGAGAUGAUAUAACUUGACAAAAUAUUUUUAGUUUCAUUUUUUUUUUCUUCUUUUGAAAUCAAAUUUUCUGGUUCUUUGUUUGCAAAUGAUUCAAAUUUUAUUGCUCAAAAUAACUCACAUAUAUUAAAAAAGUAAUAUUAAUGAGGCCCAAACACUAUUUUUAUCACCCUACUACUUCUUAAGAACUUCAUGGUAACAUAAAAAGAAUAAAAAUUGAAAAUGAACAUUUUGAAAUGAAAGUUUUAGUCUAAUAUACAUAUCUAUUACACUAUAUUAUAUUCUUAUUUUUUUGUAUGACUUGAGACACUCUUAGAAUGAUUUUUUUUUUUAUGAUUAUAAAAAAAUAAGAAUUAAAAAGAGAAAAAUUAUAAAAAACUUGUAAAAUAGUUAUUUAAAAGAAUCUAGUAUAAUGAUAAGAGUUAGUAAUUUUUUAUAUUCUUUUAUUAAAUUACUCUUGGCAUUUCCAUAUAAUCUAAAGUAAUUCUAAGCGUUACAUCCUAAUAUAAAAAUUCAUAGGAUAUUUAUAAAAAAACUAAAAUAAAACAUACAUAUAC